GGUCUAUUUCAUCGCGUGACUUUUCAUUCAACCCAGUUCUCCUGCCGCCGCCUGAGCGCGCCCCCGACAGACACCGCGGCCCGUCUUGGAGCACCGGGUGAAGGGCAGAUGCAGAGGAGAGAGACGCAGAGGGAGGUUUCUGCUGUUCACCCCAGGGGUCACUCACAGCUCGAGUUCCGGCAGUAGCAUCAGUGCAGGUUAUUCACUGCUCGCCACUCCGCACGAUAAGUCUCUCUCUGGCUUGUAGCUGCGGGGAAAAGGCGGAGCUCUCCUCUGGCUGAUUCCCACGGCGGUCAGACAGACAGAAAAGGGAUUGAGAGACGCUGCUAUUCUGCUGUGAAGAUGGGAACGAUCCCGGGCUCGGGGGUUGUGCUGAUUUUUCUUCUGAUGGCCCCGGGCAGAGCCAAGAUCCAGCAGCCGGGCUCCGCAGAAGGUUUGGAGGGAGCCGAACUGAACCUCGCCUGCUCUCACCCCUCAAUCAAGACGAAUGAGAAUGUAGUUUGGUACCGGCAGUUCCCGAACCAAGGACCCCAAUACAUAGUUUCUGGAUUCCGGGAAACUACUCAUAGCACCGACCCCGAGGGAGCUUUGCAUGUUUCUGGAGACAGAAAGUCCAGCGCCCUGGCCCUGCGCAGGGUGCGGCUGGCGGACGCAGCGGUGUAUUAUUGUGCUCUGAGCGACACAGUGGGACCGCCAGGGGCUGGUCCCGUACAAUAAGUAUCUCACUGAGGCCUGUGUGUGCGUAGGCGGUGGGAGGGGUGAAUGUGGAGUGUGUUUCCAUGAGGGGGAGGGCAGAGGGGCGAUUAGGGGAGAUAAAAGAGAUGAAUAAAACAUUUGGGGCCAAAUUUUCCAAGGUCUUGGUGCGCCUAACUAUUUACUUAGGAGACAAAUGAGAUUUGAUCCUUUGGAAACGUUCUAAGAAAAUCUGCUUCAGGGAGAACUAUGAAGCACAGUAAAUGAAAAGAAACAAACCUUUCCCAUUACAUCUGCAAGGAGGCUAUUUUGAUAGAGAGAUGAAUGGAUAGAGUCAGCGCUGUUGUAGCCCCGUUGGAGGCAGGAAUAUUAGACAGACGAGGUGGGAGAGAGAAUAUAUUUUAUUGGACCAACUUCUUUUGGUAAGAAAAACAGCUACAGACGUUGGUCCAAUAGAAUAUAUUACCUCACCCACCUUGUCUGGAAAGAUUAGAUAAGGAGAGAAGGAGAGGGAGAGAUGAGAGGCAGAGACAGAGAGAUGAUGAAGAGAGAGAGAGAGAGAGAGAUGCUGGAGAGAGAUAACACAAGACCAUCCUCGAAUUGCAUUUGUGAAAUGGACACAAAUAUUACUAGAAAAAAAUGACUGGGAAGUUUAGCAAAUACUAUUCUGCAAACGAAUUUUCCCCAGACAGGAAGUAAGCACAUAUGGAGUCUAAAUUAAUAAAAUUUCACUAAACA